CUCUCGUAUUGUCUCUCUCUCUACAACCCAUAAACCACCUAACCCUUUAUCUCUCACCUAUUGUCCAUCUCUUCUCACUCGUAUUAUCUCUCUUUGCAACCUAGAAACCACCCCUACUCACUUCAAAACUGAAAGCACCCUUCCUUCCACUCAAUUCAAAACCGAGCUGACAUCUUACUCACUAUCUCGAUCAUUUCAUUUUGCCUUUCUCAUCUGCCUUCACUUAGUCUCAGACUCUUUCUCUUUCUCGGAUUUGAAGUUUAGCAGCCACCCACCGUCUAACAAUCUCACUCCGACAAACUGUCUCCACUCUGGCCACCACCACACCUCAUGGCUUCAUCCCCACCUCCGGUUCUUUCUAGUGAUUCUAUGUGUGUUUGGGAUUUCGAAUUAAGGUUAGGGUUUCGAAUUGGGGGCUCGGGUUAGGAAGAGGACACAGGUUCGGAUGAUUUUAAUAUCAAUCUAGAUGAUUUGAAUUCUGAUGCAGGUUUGGUUUCGGGAAAUUCCGAAAAUAUUUCGGGAAUCCCGAAAUUUAGGUUCAAGAUCGGUCCCGAGAAUUUUGUCUCGAAAAUUUUCGGUUCGGGAUUUUGUCUCGAAAACUUUUGGUUCGGUAUCCCAUACUGAACCAGCCCUACAUAUACUCAAUGAUGAAUCCUAUUCUUCAAAACGCCCCCUCACGAGUAGCUCCACACGGUGUCACAAGAGAAAUCAAUCCUUACAUCAGGAACUAGUUAAUUCAUUACGUCGGAGCUAACACAAUUUUCACAAGUUCAGUCAUCAACCGUUCAACUAAGGCCAACACAAUUUUUCGAAGGCCCAGUGAUUCAAUUCCUUAAGCCAUAUGAAAACUUUUAUAUAUUUACUUUAUAAAUAUGGGAUUAUUGUU